AGUGAACGCUGGCGGUAGGCCUAACACAUGCAAGUCGAACGGCAGCACAGUAAGAGCUUGCUCUUACGGGUGGCGAGUGGCGGACGGGUGAGGAAUACAUCGGAAUCUACUUUUUCGUGGGGGAUAACGUAGGGAAACUUACGCUAAUACCGCAUACGACCUACGCGUGAAAGCAGGGGAUCUUCGGACCUUGCGCGAUUGAAUGAGCCGAUGUCGGAUUAGCUAGUUGGCGGGGUAAAGGCCCACCAAGGCGACGAUCCGUAGCUGGUCUGAGAGGAUGAUCAGCCACACUGGAACUGAGGCACGGUCCAGACUCCUACGGGAGGCAGCAGUGGGGAAUAUUGGACAAUGGGCGCAAGCCUGAUCCAGCCAUACCGCGUGGGUGAAGAAGGCCUUCGGGUUGUAAAGCCCUUUUGUUGGGAAAGAAAAGCAGCAGGUUAAUACCCCGCUGUUCUGACGGUACCCAAAGAAUAAGCACCGGCUAACUUCGUG
rnacentral:rRNA from 1 species